rnacentral:rRNA from 1 species
AGUGAACGCUGGCGGUAGGCCUAACACAUGCAAGUCGAACGGCAGCACAGUAAGAGCUUGCUCUUACGGGUGGCGAGUGGCGGACGGGUGAGGAAUACAUCGGAAUCUACUUUUUCGUGGGGGAUAACGUAGGGAAACUUACGCUAAUACCGCAUACGACCUACGGUUGAAAGCAGGGGAUCUUCGGACCUUGCGCGAUUGAAUGAGCCGAUGUCGGAUUAGCUAGUUGGCGGGGUAAAGGCCCACCAAGGCGACGAUCCGUAGCUGGUCUGAGAGGAUGAUUAGCCACACUGGAACUGAGACACGGUCCAGACUCCUACGGGAGGCAGCAGUGGGGAAUAUUGGACAAUGGGCGCAAGCCUGAUCCAGCCAUACCGAGUGGGUGAAGAAGGCCUUCGGGUUGUAAAGCCCUUUUGUUGGGAAAGAAAAGCAGCAGGUUAAUACCCCGCUGUUCUGACGGUACCAAAAGAAUAAGCACAGGCUAACUUCGUG